rnacentral:lncRNA from 1 species
CGUGGAGUUACUCCAUGACCAGCAAUUUCAUUCUGCGUGUGUGCCGAAAGAGUGAGAAGCAGGACGCAAAGCAGGCGCCCCGCUCACGGCAGCAGCACCCACAGCAUUCACGGCAGCUGAAAGGGGGGAGCACCCACCUGUCGGUGGACGAUGGGUGAACAAGACGUGGUCCAUCCACACAGUGGAUCACGGUCCAGUCUCAGAAAGGAAGGAGGUUCCGACACGUGCUGCAGCAUGGAGGAACGCUGAGAACAUCCUCAGUGAAAUAAGCCAGCCACAGAAGAAAAAGCUCUGCAUGAUUCCACUUGUACGAGCUCCCUAGAGCAGAUUCAUAGAGACAGAAAGUGGUUUCCAGGGGCUAAGGGAGAAGGUGGAGUGAAUUUUUAAUGGGAGAGAGUCUCAGUUUUGCAAGAAGAGCUCUGGAGACGGUGGUGAUGGCUGUACCACUACGUGACUGGUCUUAGCACCACUGACCUGUGCGUGUUAAGUGCUUAAGAUGGUAAGUUUUCUGUUGUUGUGUUAGUCGCUCAGUGUCUGACCCUGUGACCUCAUGGACUAUAGCCCUCUGUCCGUGGGAUUCUCCAGGCGAGAACACUGAGUGGGUUGCCAUGCCCUCCUCCAGGGGAUCUUCCUGACCCAGGGAUUGAAGCCGGGUCUCCUGCAUUGGCAGGCGGACCGGUUACCAUCUGAGCCAGCAGGGAAGCAGAAGAAGAAAGCAGCUCUCCACCCGGGGACGAGGCGGCCUCGAGGUGGAGAAGCUGGUUUCCACCCCCGAACGCGCUCACGCCGCCCUGCGCCCACGGCGGCUGCUCGUCCUCUGUACAGGGGGCUCUGGCCAGUUUCUCGCGGAUUCGAGGAGGGGCGAGCACUCGGUUCCCGCCGUUCGGGCCUUUGCCUAUUACUCCCGUUUGUUUGGGUUUUACUUUUCCUGACCGUGGCACUUCUGGCUCUGUUGGAAAAUGUCACAUGGUUCACACCAACGUUUCUAUUCAGCAGGCGUGUAAGCAGCAGAGAAAGCACGCGCAAGGCCACUUCCAUGUCUCCCUGGAGUUCACACCCAUUGCUUUUAAGUGGGGACCAGGCUUCCAGAUGUUACCGCUGCCUUUUGAUGUUAAGGGGGCUCCGGACAACGAAGAGCCGCAAGCAUGAGCCCCCUUCUCCACAGGCCAGACGCGCGUCAGUCACCACCACCUAAGACGCAGGGAAGAAUCUGGAAGAAGCAGAAAUGUUUUCCAAAGAAAACGCACGUCGUGAGGUCCGUUCACAGGCUAUUUUGACCCUAACUCAAGGGAAAGUUUUCCCCACGGCCGGACUCUCAGUUAAGCACAUUUUAGAGAGUCUGACCGCUGACUUUUCCUGCAGUAGACUAGGAAAGAGUGGGCGUCACAGAAAAGUGUCCUGAAAGCAGAGAAAAUGGUUGUUACCCCCUGAUGGGAGAAGACAGAAUAACAGAAACGGGAGCAAUAAAAACCAUCUCACGACCCCA